ACUUUCACUAACAAGAUCAAUAUUAUCGGCAAGAGCGAAAAGAUCUUUGAGAAGACUAACGGAAACUGAAGUUGUUCCAACUACGAGACAUUUACUUUGUCUUCUACGUUUGUGUUGAUUCCCCUACAAAUUACUUUAUGUCACCAUUGACUGGAUUCAAAAGGGCAGACAUCUCCUUCGUCUAAUGUCUUGAAAGAAAUUGGGAU
rnacentral:lncRNA from 1 species